AGAGUUUGAUCCUGGCUCAGAACGAACGCUGGCGGCAGGCCUAACACAUGCAAGUCGAACGAAAAGCCACCUUCGGGUGGUGGACAGUGGCAGACGGGUGAGUAACGCGUGGGAACGUGCCUUUCGGUUCGGGAUAACCCAGGGAAACUUGGGCUAAUACCGGAUACGCCCUCCGGGGGAAAGAUUCAUUGCCGAAAGAUCGGCCCGCGUCGGAUUAGCUAGUUGGUGGGGUAAAAGCCUACCAAGGCGACGAUCCGUAGCUGGUCUGAGAGGAUGACCAGCCACACUGGGACUGAGACACGGCCCAGACUCCUACGGGAGGCAGCAGUGGGGAAUAUUGGACAAUGGGCGCAAGCCUGAUCCAGCCAUGCCGCGUGGGUGAAGAAGGCCCUAGGGUUGUAAACCCCUUUCAGCGGGGAAGAUAAUGACGGUACCCGCAGAAGAGCC
rnacentral:rRNA from 1 species